rnacentral:rRNA from 1 species
CAGCCGCCGCGGUAAGACAGAGGAUGCAAGCGUUAUCCGGAAUGAUUGGGCGUAAAGCGAGCGCAGGCGGUUCCUUAAGUCUGAUGUGAAAGCCCCCGGCUCAACCGGGGAGGGUCAUUGGAAACUGGGAAACUUGAGUGCAGAAGAGGAGAGUGGAAUUCCACGUGUAGCGGUGAAAUGCGUGGAGAUGUGGAGGAACACCAGUGGCGAAGGCGACUCUCUGGUCUGUAACUGACGCUGAGGAGCGAAAGCGUGGGGAGCGAACAGGAUUAGAUACCCGUGUAGUCCCUGUCUCUUAUAC